AACCUAGCACACCUGCGGUGUGUACCUGCGGAGGGAUCAUUACAGAGUUGCAAAACUCCCUAAACCAUUGUGAACGUUACCUAAACCGUUGCUUCGGCGGGCGGCGCGCCCUCGCGCGCGCCCCUGGGCCCCACCGCGGGCGCCCGCCGGAGGUCACCAAACUCUUGAUAUUAAUUGGCCUCUCUGAGUCUUCUGUACUGAAUAAGUCAAAACUUUCAACAACGGAUCUCAGAUCGGAAG
rnacentral:misc_RNA from 1 species